rnacentral:ncRNA from 1 species
AUAGUAUUUUGGACAAGCGGUACCAAUAUGGUUUAAAAGGGAAUUCGGAGAAAGAGUCAUCUUAAGCCGAAGCUGUCCCCGCAACUGUAAAUGCUGACAAAUGAUUAAUAGACCACUGUGAAGAACGGGAAGGCUAUCAUUUGGAGGAAGCAUGAGCCAGGAGACCUGCCGAGUUGUUCAAGACAGC